GCAUUAGUGGUUCAGUGGUAGAAUUCUCGCCUUGCAUGCGGGAGACCCAGGUUCGAUUCUUGGCCAAUGCA